rnacentral:rRNA from 1 species
UACGAAGGGGCUAGCGUUGCUCGGAAUUACUGGGCGUAAAGCGCGCGUAGGCGGGUCGUUAAGUCGGGGGUGAAAUCCUGGAGCUCAACUCCAGAACUGCCUUCGAUACUGGCGAUCUUGAGUCCGGGAGAGGUGAGUGGAACUCCGAGUGUAGAGGUGAAAUUCGUAGAUAUUCGGAAGAACACCAGUGGCGAAGGCGGCUCACUGGCCCGGUACUGACGCUGAGGUGCGAAAGCGUGGGGAGCAAACAGG